rnacentral:rRNA from 1 species
UACGUAGGGGGCAAGCGUUGUCCGGAAUCAUUGGGCGUAAAGCGCGUGUAGGCGGUUCGGUAAGUCAGCUGUGAAAGUCCAGGGCUCAACCCUGGAAAGCCGGUUGAUACUGUCGGGCUAGAGUGCGGAAGAGGCGAGUGGAAUUCCUGGUGUAGCGGUGAAAUGCGCAGAUAUCAGGAGGAACACCGAUUGCGAAGGCAGCUCGCUGGGACGUCACUGACGCUGAGACGCGAAAGCGUGGGGAGCAAACAGG